CCGUAUAAAAAAUACAGUUUGACCAGUCUUUGGCAAAAAUUCCAUGUGAGUAGACAAGUGAUCCACGAGGUGAAGAAUAAAAUUAUAAUUUCUGUGAAAAUAAAAGUGUUUUUAAUUCCGGAAAUUGUCCAGUGAAAUCCUUGGAGAUAGUUGCAGCAGCAGAGGAAAGAAACUUUGAUCCUACUCGAUCGGAUUGUAAUAGUUUCUGUGUUUUUAAUAGGUGAGCACGUCACUGAGGUGGCCAAAGGGCAUCAUAACAAGUUACCAGCGGUUUUUGUCUUGUAAUUUAAUAGGUGAGAGACUAUCUGCAGAA